UCUUGUUAGAUACAAUCCUGAUGUUAAUUUCUAGCAAGAAAAUCUUACUAUAUUUAUAGGCAAUAAUUAGAAUGUUAAUUUUAUUUCAAGGCACCUCUGUAAAAUUAUUGAAAUGCAUACAAUGUUGAUCGUCCUUUGAAGUUCAUGCGACGUUGAGGUUAAUACUUUUGAUUUCGAAGCAUGUGAAGAGGGAAUUCCCCCCUGAAAGCAUUUGGGUAUUGCAUGGAAAAUAGAGUCUGGUAAUAAGUCAUUCCUUGAUUGUUAAUGAUAAAUGGAACCAAGUAAUUUAGUAGUUUAAAGUGUAGGCAUAUUUGUUCUGAAGUGCUGUUUUCUAACUACUUACCAUUGAUGCUGUGAAGACAGGAAC